rnacentral:rRNA from 1 species
ACGCUUGAAGUCAGUCACGUUGUCCAGGGAUCAACCUUGCUCUUUUGCUUGGCGUACUUUCUGGUUAACGGGUCAGCAUCAAUUUUGACCAGUGGAUAAAGGUUGAGGGAAUGUGGCAUCUUCGGAUGUGUUAUAGCCCUUGGUCGCAUACACUGGUUGGGAUUGAGGAACUCAGCACGCCGCAAGGCCGGGUUUUUUUACCACGUACGUGCUUAGGAUGCUGGCAUAAUGGCUUUAAUCGACCCGUCUUGAAACACGGACCAAGGAGUC